rnacentral:misc_RNA from 1 species
GACGAACCGUGCGAACGUUGUUCGGAAUCACUGGGCUUAAAGGGCGCGUAGGCGGGCUGUCAAGUCUGGGGUGAAAUCCCACGGCUCAACCGUGGAACUGCCUUAGAUACUGACGGCCUUGAGGAAGGUAGGGGCAUGCGGAACUGUAGGUGGAGCGGUGAAAUGCGUUGAUAUCUACAGGAACUCCGGUGGCGAAAGCGGCGUGCUGGACCUUUUCUGACGCUGAGGCGCGAAAGCUAGGGGAGCAAACGGG